UCUGUUAACGGACAGUAUCUAUACACAGCUCGAGUAUAUACACAGUUUUUGACUCGAUUGACAUCAGCCACGUACGCCCACCUACCAAGCUAAAACGCGGGACCCACAAUCGAAACCAGAUGCUUUAUUGCACUGUUGGCUCGUGAACCAAACAAACAGUGGACCCACAUUAUUAUAUUUUCUACCCAUCUUUCCACCCACUCGUACGUGCAAAUUAAUGUGAUUAUACUCUCAAGGAUUGGUUAAUGGCACGUACGGAUAUACGAGAAAUGUCGAUCAAAGACGUCAAGCGGGACCGAUUCAUUUGAAUCCAACUUAACCGAUCGUCGAUGUCGCCAUUGACGCAUCCCUCGCCAAUCUCCCCUUCCUUGUCUGUCUUUGCCUUCCGCCAUGGCUUCCGAGCAGAUCUUAUUUUCUAGGGUUUCCAUUCUUCUGCUGCGCUGAGAAUAUAAACCACAUUCUUCCACUCUGUCGAGCGGGCAUUGAUGGGCUAAGCGGCCUCACAUCAUUGUUUGGUCCAAUCAAGAGUUUUGGCCCCAUCGAUACACACUGCAACGUUUCCACAAAACCUAGCCCUAAGUUUAGAUUCUUUCUAAGUUAGUGGUUCUAUCUGAUGUGAUCGUCUUCGAGGAGGAGGAGGAGGGCAACCUCUCACGCCAUCGAUGGCUUACUCCAAGUUGGCUUCGACGAGUUUGUGUCUACAAUCAGUGUUCUUGUCGUCCAUCGAGAUCAUCUUAUUUCAUGUUUCAGCUAUCACCGACAAUUUUGCGUGAACAUUAUGUGAUUGAGGGAAGUAUGCCAAUCUAUAUGAGAUGGGUCGGAUGAGAACUGCCCAUCUUACUGUGUGAAAUUUAGCCUUGAUGGAUCAUUUACGUUCCCAAGCAACAACGGAAGAGUUGGAUAUACGAUGCAUAAACGUAAUGAAGGACCUAUUUGCAGGUGCUCUGUUUCUUGUUGACGGUCAUUCUCUGUGUGUGCAAGUGUUGGCCAGAGAAAGAGGGGUGUUUGCCGCUGAACUGUAAUCAGAGAAAAAAAUAAAUUUGAGCUGUUCAGAGGAAAAAGAAGGUGGUUGCUCUCCAACUCACUAUGAUUGCCUAAUAUUCCAGUAAGCCUCUGUUGUCAUGUUACUGCACGGAACUUGGAAGCUGGUCUCGUCCAUGGAAGAUAUAUUUGCAGCCAGCUUUCUGAUGGACAGGACAGAAUAGUUCAAGGUGAACAAUUCAACAAGAGGAGGAACAUAAUUGAAAACAGCGUCAUUUUUCUCAUCUUCUUGCCAGCGAUCACGGUUUGUUCUACGAGCCGUACGUGGAGGAAGGUCUGCCCCUUUUAAGAGAAGCAAAAUGCCAUUGCAUCAGGACUUCAACAUGGGAUUCCCUAAUGCACAUGAAGGUCUUGACAGAAGCAGCUUAGGAUUCGUGCAGAGGCACACAUGGACACCCAGUCCAGUGAACCAUGUCAUGGUAGGCAGGGAAAUGACUAUUACCUAACUGAGUACUCUGGUAACACUAUGCCUUAAGAGAAAGGUCAGCAAGGGUAUAUAAAAGCUGCAGCACCCUCUCUUGACUGAAAAUUUUAUCUAAUAGUUACUUGUGGUCAGUGAUAUUUUAUACAGUGUUUGUACCAUACCAGCAUGGAUCAUCAUUAAAUUAUAGAAAUGUAGCUCCUUGGAGAUCUGUUGCGUAGUGACACAAACACUAAUCUAGAGCAGCAUAACGUGGAUACAUGGAUGAUGGGCAUGUAUAACUGCAUGGAUGAUGAGGCAUGGGGACAGACAUCCUUCCAUACUCAACAGGGUUCUUGCAUUUCCCUAGCAUGGUCUGCAUCAUAAAAGAAAACUAUUGAUGGUUGACCUCUGCAGGUUGCUCAUGCAAGUGAAUCUUUCUGCACCAAAUCAAGCAUUAAAAAAUCUCACAGGACCAGUGCAAUCAGAGGCUUGCAGGACACACUUGGAAUAUUUUCUUAGUCCUUAUUUCUCUUGUUUUGGUAUUCAGUACAAGUUCACUAGAUCAUCAUCCUGCAAAUUCUCUGGGAAGGGUUUGAAUCGCAGGAAGGGAAUAACCUGAGGGAUCAAGCAGUGGAAGCUUGAGAUGAACUACUACAUGGGGACAUCACGAGGCACAGCAAAGAACAAAGUUUCCACCUGAGGGAUGAAUGAAAAGAAAUCCUCUCUUCACACCACAGUAACGAGUGCUGAGGUUUCAGUGGUAGCAGUGGUUGCACAGCAAUAAGUCUCGGAACGAGAAGCAGAGACAUGCACUUGGCAAGUCUUGUGUGGUGGAGAUAAGGGGAAGCACUCUGUCGUCGGCUUUUGCAGGUACAGAUGCGGUCAAAUUCCGUGAACGAACGCCGACAGUUUCGUCACAACCAUUCGUCACCCAAAGAAUAGCAGGAAGCCGUAUGGCCGUCAGAUUCUUUCUUCCAUGAGCGGUUGGCCGCUAUCUUUGACAGUCUUCAACGCAGAUGCCGAUGGCUUCCUCUUAUGAGACGCCCCCACUCAUCUAUACGUAUGUCUAUAUAUUAUACGCCUAACAUGACACGUGGAUAAUAGGUGCCACAUCAAUUCCGUGUCAUUGACCACAUCACCAUUGAAUCUCCAAGAGUUUCAACUUUAGCGUCGGAGAGACUUGGUCAUGCAUCCUACUCGACUCUAAUCUUUGUAAUCUUGGCGAAUGCUCAAGUGAUCAUCUCGGACGCCUCAGACUUUAUUCGUCAGUAUUAGUUCUUACAAGAUAGAUGUGUAAACUAGAUCUCCAUCCCGAUACGACCAUAUCAAUGAUGUGCUCCUAGUACUGUUUCCAUUAGAAGAGAUUAAGACAAGACAAAUAGGCAUAUCAGCAUAUCAAGUACGAAGUGAUCAUUGAUCAAACACAUGAGGAAGAAAAUAACAAAUAUGGUGUCCACCUUCUUGUCUGGUUAUGUACCUAUUAU